UGGGGAAUUGUUCACAAUGGGCGCAAGCCCGAUGACGCAACGCCGCGUGGGGGAUGAAGGUCUUCGGAUUGUAAACCCCUGUCGAAUGGGACGAAAGACUCGCGAGUUAAUACUUCGCGGGAGUGACGGUACCGUUAAAGGAAGCCACGGCUAACUCUGUGCCAGCAGCCGCGGUAAUACAGAGGUGGCAAGCGUUGUUCGGAAUUACUGGGCGUAAAGGGCGCGUAGGCGGCCUACUAAGUCAGACGUGAAAUCCCCCGGCUUAACCUGGGAACUGCGUCUGAUACUGGAAGGCUUGAGUAUGGGAGAGGGAUGUAGAAUUCCAGGUGUAGCGGUGAAAUGCGUAGAUAUCUGGAGGAAUACCGGUGGCGAAGGCGGCAUCCUGGACCAUUACUGACGCUGAGGCGCGAAAGCUAGGGGAGCAAACGGGAUUAGAUACCCCAGUAGUCCCUGAGCGGGCUGGCAAGGCGCAU
rnacentral:rRNA from 1 species